CUUGAGCUUGGUAAGUCUCAUCGUGCAAUGGUGCUUGAAAUGUUGCUAUUUUCCAGCUUGAUCAAAAUGCUGUCAUGCUUAUUACCUGGGACUUUCUGCAUGAGGACAAGGACCUGGUCUGUUAGAGCAGGAGUCCUCAACCCCCAGGCCACAGACUGGUACCAGUCUGCAGCCUCUUAGGAACUGGGCCAUACAGCAGGAGGUGAGCGCAGGGCAGGUGAGCAGAGUGUCAUCUGUGUUUACAGCCAUUCCCCAUCACUCCCAUCACCGCCUGAGCUCCACCUCCUGCCAAAUCAGCAGCAGCAAUAGAUUCUCAUAGGAGCAUGAACACUUGUGAACUGUGCAUGUGAGGAAUCUGGGUUGCGUGUUCCUUAUAAGAAUCUAAUGCCUGAUGAUCUCUGUCUCCCAUCACCCGCUUUGGGGCCAUCUAGUUGACGGAAAGCAAGCUCAGGGCUCCCACUGGUUCUACGUUAUGUGGCUAUGGUGGUGCCCCAGGGUUACUGGUAACUUCAAAACAUGGUUAACUUGCCUACUGGGUACCCUAAUAGCACAUGGGGAAGUAUCAACGUCAUCGUCAUCAUCAUCAUCAUCUUUCUACAGAGGAAACUGAGGCCCAGAGAGGGUGAACUUCCUGCCCAAGGUCAAGUGAAGGUCAUCCUUAUUGAGGGCUUUUCCCAUCAUGUCAGACAAUAGUAGGCAAAUUGAGACAGGAUUGGAGGAGGAGGAGAAGGAGGAGAUGGGGGUGGAAGGGGAGGAGAAAAAGGAGGAGAGGAAGAAGAAAGGGAAGAGAAGGAGAGGGAAGAGGAGAGGGAAGAGGAGAGGGAAGAGGAGAGGGAAGAGGAGAGGGAAGAGGAGAGGGAAGAGGAGAGGGAAGAGGAGAGGGAAGAGGAGAGGGAAGAGGAGAGGGAAGAGAGGGAGGACGGUAGAGGAGAAGAGGGGAGAAGGGAAGAAGUGGGAGGGAAGAUGACAGGGAGCAGAAAGGAAGAAGAAGGUGGAGCAGGAGAGAGGAAGAGGAGGAGGAGGGGGAAGGAGGAAAAGGAAGGGGUGCAGGAAGAGGAGGGGGUGCGUGGGCAGAAG
rnacentral:lncRNA from 1 species